rnacentral:tRNA from 1 species
GAGGCCUUAGCUUAAUUAAAGUGUCUGAGUUGCAUUUAGGAGAUAUGAGUUAGUUUCUUGUAGGUCUUA